rnacentral:misc_RNA from 1 species
AAAUGGCUUUAGGAAGUCGAGUCUUGAACACUGUUUUGCAGAAUAUGAAUGGAAUAAUUGAUUUUAGAAUGAGUCUUAAGUAGUUGCAAAAGGAAAAAAAAAAAAAUAAAGAAGAAGAAGAUGAGAUGGAAUUUCAUGGUGAUUUUGAUUCUCAAAGAUGCCAUUGCCACCAGGGGAUGAAAUUAAAAAACCAAGCAGAAAGUGAUAUUCUUGCAAGAUUAAAGUAGAUUCUCUGUUAUCUACAUCUGAUCACAAAGGCCAAGAUCCCCAGCUGCACAGUUUACCUUUUGAAAGAUCAAACCAGCAAAGAAUAGGGAAAGAAAAAUGCAUACAUUCAAGAAACUCAAGUUUUUAUAUCCUCUUCUCAUCCUCAAUCUCUUCUUUCUCACUUGUCAAUCCCAACACAGUUCUACAACCUUCUGUGGCAAAAUCCCAAUUCAGAGUCCCUUUCUGAGUUCAAAUUCAACUGUUCCAUCCCCAUUAAAUCACAUGAUACUAUGCAGAUCUCAGAAGCUGUUCUUCAGAACCUCUCUUGGUCUUUUCCCAGUUUCUUCAGUAGACUACACAACUAAAACAUUAAUCAUUUCUCACCCUUCUUGCUCUUCUUCUCGGCACUUUGUCUCUCCUGCUCUUCUGUCUGCUGGUUUUCCUACUCCUCCAAAGCCUAACUCACUUCUUCUCUUCAACUGCUCAACCAAAAUUUAUCCAAUGACAUCAUUUAAAGGUAACAACACUAGCUUGAAGGGUUGUGCAGCUUCAUCUGAAACUCAACAACUUGAAGGCCCUUAUUCAUGUCUACUUGUUAAUGAUGUUGAAAAGCUCGACAAGGGUUUUCAUCCAAAAGAUUUGAAUUGUUCACAUUACAGCAGGGUGUAUAGAAGUUCUUCAAAUGAUGAUUACAACAAGGAAUAUGAAUUGGGGACAAGGAUAUCCUUCGACAUUCCUGAUCAUGUGCCAGAUAUCUGCAAUGAAUGCGGAAAGCCUAAUGGAAAUUGUGGAGUGGGAUUGAGAUGUAUAUGCCACCCUAAAGAGUGUAGAGAUAAGGUCAUUUCUAUGGCUGGAUCAGUCAAGCCCUUUGGUAAUAAUGCGCUCUUAUCUAUACUUUCUUCCCUUGUAGUCUUGGUUUCCUUCAUGAACUUUUGAUAUAAGAAACUUAAAUGCUUUGCAUAUACUAGAUCUUCCAAGUUUCCUUUUCUAAUUGCUGUUGUAUCAGAAAUCCAAUAAUGCAACUUCUAGAUGGCUGUAGCCUUAUCAUUUUUCUCAGUCAUCUAAACUGUGCCUAUUCAGGCAUUUCCUGAUGACUGCCCAAUUCAAAGAGCAAUGCUCCCCGCAAAAAGAAGUUAAAUAUUCUGAAAUAAGAGACCUGAAAUGCUUGCAUCCUCUAAAUUCUUGCCAUUAAAAGAAUAGUUCCUAGUUAACGAUCACCACCAUAGAUUCAGAUAAACUCUAGAUGAUUAAUGUAAAAGGGUGCAUCCAGUUCAAUUACCACCAAAAGGAAAACUCUAGAAAAUAUAAGCUGCCAAAAAGGCAUACAAACAACAAUAGUCAUGACAAAGCUGAUAGCUACAAUGGGACAGGCACACACAAGUUUGCAGAAUUAUCAAGAGAGCUAGAGUAGAAUCCAUUAUGGGAGUAACAUUAACAUCCAACAAAAAAAAUCCAAAUUUAAUCUGUGCAGAGAAAACUACUUCUGAGGUAUGCAAGGCAUGGAUAUUGAAACUCGUGCAUUCAAACUUAUACAGCUAAUGGCAUAUUGCAUCCAUCUGGGUACCACUAAAUGCAGGACAACUCUGCUGCAUAAUUGAUACUUUAUUUAGAAUGCCUGCCUACAGCACAAAAUUGUUCAAGGGUAGAAUGGAAAUAACAGGGAAAUAUACUGCGGGGCUAAUAAUUGCAUACAUACGAGAAGUAUUAGAGGCACAUGUGAAUAUCUAAUGCAUACUGAGCAGAUUCUUUGUGAAUUAUACAUUAUUCUCCAGCAACUGCAUUUCUUGCCUUUCUGUGAAGCAAUUACACUGUUCUUGACUGUUAUUUGAAGGCUCUUUAAGGUUAAACAUGCAAUCAAUAACCUUAUUCUAAAUAACCAAAACCCACGAAACCAUAGCAGUAAAAUACAACAAACGUCGCAAGCAAACAACAAGAGAAAGGACUUCAAGUUAAUACUGAAUCUACAUAUUUUCACUAGGAACAUAAAUCAUCACCUUGUGCAUCAUAAGGCACUUUACAACAGAAACAUGGCCGCUAAUUUUUACUUCAGAGAAACCAUAUAUCCUCAGCCUGAAU